CAGAAUUGCAAACUCCCUAAACCAUUGUGAACGUUACCUAUACCGUUGCUUCGGCGGGCGGCCCCGGGGUUUACCCCCCGGGCGCCCCUGGGCCCCACCGCGGGCGCCCGCCGGAGGUCACCAAACUCUUGAUAAUUUAUGGCCUCUCUGAGUCUUCUGUACUGAAUAAGUCAAAACUUUCAACAACGGAUCUCUUGGUUCUGGCAUCGAUGAAGAACGCAGCGAAAUGCGAUAAGUAAUGUGAAUUGCAGAAUUCAGUGAAUCAUCGAAUCUUUGAACGCACAUUGCGCCCGCCAGCAUUCUGGCGGGCAUGCCUGUUCGAGCGUCAUUUCAACCAUCAAGCCCCCGGGCUUGUGUUGGGGACCUGCGGCUGCCGCAGGCCCUGAAAAGCAGUGGCGGGCUCGCUGUCGCACCGAGCGUAGUAGCAUACAUCUCGCUCUGGUCGCGCCGCGGGUUCCGGCCGUUAAACCACCUUUUUAACCCAAGGUUGACCUCGGAUCAGGUAGGAAGACCCGCUGAACUUAAGCAUAUCAGAUAAGCGGAGAAAAAUAUUUCAAAAUCCGAAACCUUGUGAACAUCACACAUGUUUUUUUUUAACAGGCGCCGGGUUUUCCCGGCCCCUGGAGCCACGGGGUUCCGCCCGAU
rnacentral:rRNA from 1 species